rnacentral:piRNA from 1 species
UGAGGCUCUUUCAAUUAGGUGGCAGGGUGG